AGGAGUGUAGCUCAGUUGGCUAGAGCAGCGGUCUCCAAAACCGCAGGUCGAGAGUUCGAGUCUCUCCGCUCCUGCCA
rnacentral:tRNA from 1 species